rnacentral:rRNA from 1 species
CCAAUAGCGUAUAUUAAAGUUGUUGCAGUUAAAAAGCUCGUAGUUGAAUUUCGGGGUUCUACCGUCGGUCGGGCUAACAAGUCUGUACUGGUGUGUAGAAUUUCUACCUUCUGGGGAACUAUCAUGUUAUUAAUUUAGCGUGGUGGGAAACCAGGACCUUUACCUUGAAAAAAUUAGAGUGUUCAAAGCAGGCUUACGUCUGAAUACAUUAGCAUGGAAUAAUAGAAUAGGACGGUGGUCCUGUUUUGUUGGUUUCUGAAUCACCGUAAUGAUUAAUAGGGAUAGUUGGGGGCAUUAGUAUUCAAUUGUCAGAGGUGAAAUUCUUGGAUUUAUUGAAGACUAACUUCUGCGAAAGCAUUUGCCAAGGAUGUUUUCAUUAAUCAAGAACGAAAGUUAGGGGAUCGAAGACGAUCAGAUACCGUCGUAGUCUUAACCAUAAACUAUGCCGACUAGGGAUCGGACGAUGUUAAAUUUUAUUGACUCGUUCGGCGCCUUACG